GAUGAACGCUGGCGGCGUGCUUAACACAUGCAAGUCGAACGGAAAGGCCCAAGCUUGCUUGGGUACUCGAGUGGCGAACGGGUGAGUAACACGUGGGUGAUCUGCCCUGCACUUCGGGAUAAGCCUGGGAAACUGGGUCUAAUACCGGAUAGGACGAUGGUUUGGAUGCCAUUGUGGAAAGUUUUUUCGGUGUGGGAUGAGCUCGCGGCCUAUCAGCUUGUUGGUGGGGUAAUGGCCUACCAAGACGUCGACGGGUAGCCGGCCUGAGAGGGUGUACGGCCACAGUGGGACUGAGAUACGGCCCAGACUCCUACGGGAGGCAGCAGUGGGGAAUAUUGCACAAUGGGCGCAAGCCUGAUGCAGCGACGCCGCGUGGGGGAUGACGGCCUUCGGGUUGUAAACUCCUUUCGCUAGGGACGAAGCGUUUUUGUGACGGUACCUGGAGAAGAAGCACCGGCUAACUACGUG
rnacentral:rRNA from 1 species